rnacentral:tRNA from 1 species
GUCCCCAUAGCACAAUGGAUAGUGCACAUCUCUCCGGAAGAUGGGAUGGCGGUUCGAUUCCGCCUGGGGAUA